AUGGGGUUGGCACCUCAAAGCUUCCUUGUCGCUGUCUGGACCAACUCCCUAGAAAGCCAAGUGCCCUCCUGGAUCAUCCAUCAUGUCAGCCAGGGGCAGAGAGUCAUGCAAUAUAGAGGAUGUUGGGACCACUUCUGUGUAUCCACUUCUGUAUCCAAGGAUACAGCCAAGGGGCAGGGCUUGGAAUUUCCAGCCUUCAGCAGCUAUUCCUGUAGAAAUAGAGAUGGAGGUCAGAGAUCUCACAGGCUCCCUCAAACAGAACUGCAUCUCAUCUCGAGCCUCCCAGCUCUGUGCCUACAUGCUGCCCCAGACCUCAGGCUGUCCACUGAUGUCAGCAUUGCCUGCACCGGGGUGACCCUCAUUUCUUUGUGCAUCUCCUUCAUCUCUGCCAGCUCUGGGUAUGGAGCUAGGAACAAGUGCUACUUUGUUGGACUGUAUCAGCUGGGAUCAACUUGCUGGACUCUUGUGACAGGGCUGAAAGUUCAGUGGAUGGACUGCUGUUUGGGAAAGUUGGUGAUAGGCCCACAGUAAUCCCAUCCAAGGGUCAUGUCAUCUCCAGCUCCUCCUUGCCUCAUAUCCCCAAAGUCUCCUCUUCUUCUUCCCUGAGUUCCUCCCCUUCUCACCCCAACACAAGAGCUUUUGUGAAAAGCUUAUGUUCCCUGACUAUAGCAGAAUUCUCUUUAAAAGAAAGCUUACCUUUCUAACUCCAAAAGCUUCAUGAGCUAUUUAACGGUAAUUAUAUUUAUUAUGGAUAAUUUUCUAUACAUUCAUCCAGUCUGGGGUGUAUGCCUUAUCCCCCUUUAUGGCUUGAUCAGAAAUUUAAGAUUUUCCUCCCAGCUCACUCUCCUCUCAUACGGAUAUUGUCUAAAAGGAAAUAUAUACAGUGUUCUUAAAUGAUGCUGUCACCUCUCACUCAAGGGAAGGAAAAACUGUUCCAG
rnacentral:lncRNA from 1 species